CGAAAUGUAGCUUAAUCAAAGCAUCUCGCUUACACCGAGAAAAUGUUUACUAAAACAAACCAUAUCGAG
rnacentral:tRNA from 1 species